CCUGAACGCUGGCGGCGUGGCUAAGACAUGCAAGUCGCACGGGGUAGCAAUACCCAGUGGCGAACGGGAGAGUAAUGAAUCGCUAACGUACCCCGGACUCUGGGAUAGCUGCCCGAAAGGGCAGGUAAUACCAGAUGAUAUAUUCCCUUGGCAUCUUGGGAAUCUCAAAGGUCCGCCGGCAACGGUGGAUGGUCUGGGAGCGGGCGAUUUCGUAUCAGCUAGUUGGUGAGGUAACGGCUCACCAAGGCGACGACGCGUAGCCGGACUGAGAGGUUGGCCGGCCUCAUUGGGACUGAGACACUGCCCAGACUCCUACGGGGGGCUGCAGUAACGAAUCUUCCGCAAUGCACGAAAGUGUGACGGAGCGACGCCGCGUGU
rnacentral:rRNA from 1 species